AAUCAGCUUGAAUUACCUGACCAUUCCAAGCUAUGUACUCGAAAGGUUUAGGAUACCACUCCUUGUACUGCUUGAUGACAGCCUCCAAACACUCUUGAGGACUUUUCAAAGGGUCUAGGAGAUCGUAGGAGGACUUCUCUCCGAAGACCUUAGGACCAACAAGUUCAUAGGGACUGUAGCAGUCUGUAGCGUCACCGUAGAUGGGCUGGUGGCACAGGAGCUUCAUGCCUGUUCCCUUGACACCUUUCUUCUUGUCGUAGGUCAACUCACCGAAGUCAGGGAUCAGGAUUGUACCAGAUCCGAUUGAGUUCAGGUUAAGAAUCUCUACACCUUGCGUCUGGUAAGCAUCCUUAUCUACAGUGCAGAUCACAGGGCGCUUACCUUGUUCAAGGAGUUCAUAACUCCGGAACUGCCUUUGAUACUGGCGAUCUUGAGAUCGGAAGAGGUGAGUGGAAUUCCCAGUGUAGCGGUGAAAUGCGUAGAUAUUGGGAAGAACAUCGGUGGCGAAAGCGUGCUACUGGGCUGUAUCUGACACUCAGGGACGAAAGCUAGGGGAGCGAAAGGGAUUAGAUACCCCUGUAGUCCUAGCCGUAAACGAUGGAUACUAGGCGUGGCUUGUAUCGACCCGAGCCGUGCCGAAGCUAACGCGUUAAGUAUCCCGCCUGGGGAGUACGCACGCAAGUGUGAAACUCAAAGGAAUUGACGGGGGCCCGCACAAGCGGUGGAGUAUGUGGUUUAAUUCGAUGCAACGCGAAGAACCUUACCAAGACUUGACAUGUCGCGAACCCUGGUGAAAGCUGGGGGUGCCUUCGGGAGCGCGAACACAGGUGGUGCAUGGCUGUCGUCAGCUCGUGUCGUGAGAUGUUGGGUUAAGUCCCGCAACGAGCGCAACCCUCGUUCUUAGUUGCCAGCAUUAAGUUGGGGACUCUAAGGAGACUGCCGGUGACAAACCGGAGGAAGGUGGGGAUGACGUCAAGUCAGCAUGCCCCUUACGUCUUGGGCGACACACGUACUACAAUGGUCGGGACAAAGGGCAGCGAACUCGCGAGAGCCAGCGAAUCCCAGCAAACCCGGCCUCAGUUCAGAUUGCAGGCUGCAACUCGCCUGCAUGAAGGAGGAAUCGCUAGUAAUCGCCGGUCAGCAUACGGCGGUGAAUUCGUUCCCGGGCCUUGUACACACCGGGUAUCGUGACUGGGAAAC
rnacentral:rRNA from 1 species